rnacentral:rRNA from 1 species
CCUACGGGUGGCAGCAGUGAGGAAUAUUGGUCAAUGGGCGCAGGCCUGAACCAGCCAAGUCGCGUGAGGGAAGACUGCCCUAUGGGUUGUAAACCUCUUUUAUAAGGGAAGAAUAAUGACUACGUGUAGUCAGAUGCCCGUACCUUAUGAAUAAGCAUCGGCUAACUCCGUGCCAGCAGCCGCGGUAAUACGGAGGAUGCGAGCGUUAUCCGGAUUUAUUGGGUUUAAAGGGUGCGUAGGCGGUAUUUUAAGUUAGUGGUAAAACGUCGGGGCUUCACCUUGAUUGGCCAUUAAAACUGGAGUACUAGAGUACAGACGAGGUAGGCGGAAUAAGUUAAGUAGCGGUGAAAUGCUUAGAUAUAACUUAGAACCCCGAUUGCGAAGGCAGCCUGCCAAGCCAUGACUGACGCUGAUGCACGAAAGCGUGGGGAUCAAACAGGAUUAGAUACCCUAGUAGUC